CGAGCGGGGAUCGCUGGCACCGAGCGGGGAGCGCGGGCACCGACCAGGGAGCGUUGGCACCGAGCGGGGGUCGUGGGCACGGAAUGGGGAUCGCUGGUACCGAGCGGGAAUGACGGGCACCGAGCAGGGGUCGCGGGCACCGAGCAGGGAGCGUUGGCACGGAGCGGGGAUCACGGGCACCGAGCAGGGAUCGCUGGCACCGAGCGGGGGUCGCGGGGUUGUCACGGGCGCCGAGCGGGGGUCGCGGCCCCGCGGGUUCAAGGGAGGCAGCGGAGCCGCCCGGAGCGGGGAGCAAAUCCCAGCCCGGCUGGAAACGCUCCCUCGGAAAAUCCUCCCUCUCUUAACCCCCCCGAAAGGCCGGGCUGGGGCGGAGGGACCCCGGCAGGGCUGGGACACCAAGAGAUUUGUCCCCUCUCUGUCCCUGAGGGCGAGGGUCCGUUUGUUCCACACCGUGCUAUCGGUCUGUCCGGCUUAGGAGCUGCUGGGGAAAAAUGGAAAGAAAAAAGAAAAGAGAAGUGACCAGGCGGUAACUUUUUGCUUGUUUGGUUGCUGUUCCUUUCACAGCGAACGGGGCGAGGUGGAGGGAGCAGCCCGUGGGGAAUGGGCGGCAGCUCAGCUCGGUGUCCUGCAGAGCCUCCCCUCAUCCCCACCUUCCUCACGGAGUUUGCUCCCAAUUCCCUAAAUCCAGUUGAAGCCUCACAGUCUCAUUCACCUCACCCAAAUAUUCCAUAUUUUACCCCAAAAAGAACAGCCACACUUCCUCAGUUUCUAUUCUGAAACCAGACAAACUUAAAGGUUUUUUCAUUUUUAUUUAAUGCUUCGAACUUUAUAGCUAAUAAUAUACAGAUAUUCAAUUUUUCCAUUGUUCCAUUCACAUCCUCACAGAGUUCAGCCAUUCUGUCACAUUGAAAUAAAAUAAAAUAAAAAAAAGCGCACAACUGAAAUAUAAUAAAUCAAAUAAAUCCAAAGGCUGGAAAAAUACAUUAUAAACUUAUAUUCAAGAAACAUUCUCUUUAUAAUUAAAAACCUACUUGUAAU